GAAGGAGGAUCUGUCCGAGGACCAGCAGAAAGCAGCCCACCAGCAUCUUCUCCAUCUUCAAGAAGAGGAAGAGGGGCAAGGCUGUGACAAAUACAAGAAGAGGAGAGAGCAGGAAAUCAGGAUUAUUACUUCUGCUUUUUGGAGAUGAGGAAACUGAGGCUCAGAGAAGCUCAGCAAUUUGAUCAAGGUCAUGCAGCUAAAAGUCCCCCAGGACUGGAGCCACAGCAAGAUCCGAGGCUCAUCUUCCACCUGAGACCGGAAUCCCCACCUCCUUCCUGCCUGUCUGGCCAUCGGAACCCAACCACUGCUCAGAC